rnacentral:rRNA from 1 species
CCUACGGGUGGCAGCAGUGAGGAAUAUUGGUCAAUGGACGAGAGUCUGAACCAGCCAAGUAGCGUGAAGGAUGACUGCCCUAUGGGUUGUAAACUUCUUUUAUAUGGGAAUAAAAUGUUCCACGUGUGGGAUUUUGUAUGUACCAUAUGAAUAAGGAUCGGCUAACUCCGUGCCAGCAGCCGCGGUAAUACGGAGGAUGCGAGCGUUAUCCGGAUUUAUUGGGUUUAAAGGGUGCGUAGGCGGAAGGUUAAGUCAGCGGUCAAAUGUCGGUGCUCAACACCGGCCGGCCGUUGAAACUUGUCUUCUUGAGUGCGCGAGCAGUCUGCGGAAUGCGUGGUGUAGCGGU